GGGAAGGAUAGGAUCAAGCUUGUGAAGGGCCAAAACUUCUUCCUCUGCAGCUUUGCUGGGCACUGUCAGGCUGGAAUGAAAGUAGCCAUAACUGCUGCGUGAUCUAGCUAGCUAAUUAAGAUCAAGACAUUUGGGAUUUUUAUUUUUAUUUUUUCUUCACUUUAUAUAUGUAAUGAUAGGUUUUGGUGUUAGGAAAGUUACUGAUCAAUGUGUCUUUGUGGUGGUGUGUGACUUGAUUUUGUGGGUGGGUUGGUGUGGCUUCUGGCUAGGCUGCCAAAUAUAUAGAUAUAAUGUUGUGAAAUAAAAUGGAGAAAAACAAUAGGUUGGUUAGAUUUUUCUUUUUUAAAUCUGGUCUAUGUCUAUUAUGGAUUUAAGAUGUAAGAUAUAUGGUGAAAUCAACUUAUUAAAUACAUGGAUCUCAUUUAUUUAAAA
rnacentral:misc_RNA from 1 species